CCCCAACAUAUUAUUAUUAACAAAGGUCAUCAGGGUGAAGUUUGGAAACAGGUAUACAUUGUGAUGCAAUCGUCAGAACCAAGCUAGUUAACAUCUCCACCACCUCACAUAGAUACCAUGUUCUUUCCUUCUUAUUAUUUAUUUAACUCUUGGGCUCAAGCAAUUGCAUUUACUAUUAGGUCACUUACUGAACAUCAGCACUUAGCCUAGCCUACCUUCGACGUUCUCAGAACAUUUACAUUCCCCUGCAGUCAGGCAAAAUCAUUCACAGGAAACCUAUUUUAUAAUAGAGCACUGAAUAUCUCAUGUCGUUUAUUGAACAUUGUACUGAAAGUGACAAUCAGAAUAGUGUGUGAAUACUCCUCAGUAACGUACACAGCUGAAAGCAGAACUUUGAGAUCAGACUGGCAACAUGGCAAAACCCGGUCUCUACAAAAAACACGAAAGUUCACUGGGCAUUAUGGUGCA
rnacentral:lncRNA from 1 species